UCUUUGUCUCCACCGUAGUUGGCUCCUUCUCUGACUCUUCCUUGGUCACUGAGCCCUGCGGGGGUACUUCAGUGCAGGAAGGGGCAGCUGAAAAUGUUUAAGAUGGUAGUAAAGGUCCAAAUACAUAAGGCAAUUAUGAACUAUAAGGGUUAUACAGCCAGGCUGGCUUAGAACUCACCCUCUGCCUACCUCAGAAUACCCAGUGAUGGGAAUAUAGGUACACACCACCACUGUCCAGCUCCACUUUGUUCUUUCUGGUAAGAUCUGAAUAACCCAGGCUGGCCUUGAACUCAGCAAUCCUCCCACCUCAGCCUCUCUAAAGCCGGCAUUACAGGUAUGUGG